GAGGGGCAUCCGAAGUCGCUGUGCUAACCGUAAGGAGGCCGAUUACCACGGUACGUUUUAUGACUGGGGUGAAGUCGUAACAAGGUAGCAGUAGGUGAACCUGCAGAAGGAUCA
rnacentral:rRNA from 1 species